rnacentral:misc_RNA from 1 species
GAUGAAGAACGCAGCGAAAUGCGAUAAGUAAUGUGAAUUGCAGAAUUCAGUGAACCAUCGAAUCUUUGAACGCACAUUGCGCCCGCCAGUACUCUGGCGGGCAUGCCUGUCCGAGCGUCAUUUCAACCCUCGAGCCCCAGCGGCCCGGUGUUGGGGAUCGGCCCCGCCCCCCGUGGCGGCCGGCCGUCCCCUAAAUAGAGUGGCGGUCACGCCGUAGCAUCCCCUGCGCAGUAGCAAUAUCUCGCAGCCGGAGCGCGGCGCGGCCAUGCCGUGAAACCCCAACUCUUCAAUGGUUGACCUCGGAUCAGGUAGGAAUACCCGCUGAACUUAAGCAUAUCAAUAAGCGGAGGA